UACGAGUGCCUCAAGCGUUAUCCGGAAUCAUUGGGCGUAAAGGUUGUGUAGGUGGUUGUAUUAGUCUUCUGUUAAAUUCUUCGGCUUAACCGGGGGCAUGCAGAGGAAACGGUACGACUAGAGGAUGCGAGGGGUCUGCGGAAUUCAUAGUGUAGCGGUAAAAUGCGUUGAUAUUCACAGGAACUCCGGUGGCGAAGGCGGCUCGCUGGACCUCUUCUGACGCUGAGGCGCGAAAGCUAGGGGAGCAAACAGG
rnacentral:rRNA from 1 species